rnacentral:misc_RNA from 1 species
GAUGAAGAACGCAGCGAAAUGUGAUACGUAAUGUGAAUUGCAGAAUUCAGUGAAUCAUCGAGUCUUUGAACGCACAUUGCGCCCCCUGGUAUUCCGGGGGGCAUGCCUGUCCGAGCGUCAUUGCUGCCCUCAAGCACGGCUUGUGUGUUGGGCCUCCGUCCUCCUCCUGGGGGACGGGCCCGAAAGGCAGCGGCGGCACCGCGUCCGGUCCUCGAGCGUAUGGGGCUUCGUCACCCGCUCUUGUAGGCCCGGCCGGCGCUUGCCGACACAUCAAUCUUUUUUCCAGGUUGACCUCGGAUCAGGUAGGGAUACCCGCUGAACUUAAGCAUAUCAAUAAGCGGAGGA